GAUGAACGCUAGCGGCAGGCCUAACACAUGCAAGUCGAGGGAGAAGCCUUCGGGCUGAAACCGGCGCACGGGUGCGUAACGCGUAUACAAUCUGCCUUUCACAUAGGGAUAGCCCGAAGAAAUUUGGAUUAAUACCUAAUGGUAUAUAGGAGCGGCAUCGUUUUUAUAUUAAAGCUACGGUGGUGAAAGAUGAGUAUGCGUUCUAUUAGCUAGUUGGAGAGGUAACGGCUCCCCAAGGCGACGAUAGAUAGGGGUUCUGAGAGGGAUGUCCCCCACACUGGUACUGAGAUACGGACCAGACUCCUACGGGAGGCAGCAGUGAGGAAUAUUGGACAAUGGUCGGAAGACUGAUCCAGCCAUGCCGCGUGCAGGAUGAAGGUCCUAUGGAUUGUAAACUGCUUUUGUAAGGGAAGAAUAAGGGGUACGUGUA
rnacentral:rRNA from 1 species